rnacentral:rRNA from 1 species
GAAAAAGAACCUGAAACCGUGUACGUACAAGCAGUGGGAGCACCCUUUGGGGUGUGACUGCGUACCUUUUGUAUAAUGGGUCAGCGACUUAUAUUCUGUAGCAAGGUUAACCGAAUAGGGGAGCCGGAGGGAAACCGAGUCUUAAUUGGGCGUUAAGUUGCAGGGUAUAGACCCGAAACCCGGUGAUCUAGCCAUGGGCAGGUUGAAGGUUGGGUAACACUAACUGGAGGACCGAACCGACUAAUGUUGAAAAAUUAGCGGAUGACCUGUGGCUGGGGGUGAAAGGCCAAUCAAACCGGGAGAUAGCUGGUUCUCCCCGAAAGCUAUUUAGGUAGCGCCUCGUGAAUUCAUCUCCGGGGGUAGAGCACUGUUUCGGCUAGGGGGCCAUCCCGGCUUACCAACCCGAUGCAAACUGCGAAUACCGGAGAAUGUUAUCACGGGAGACACACGGCGGGUGCUAACGUCCGUCGUGAAGAGGGAAACAACCCAGACCGCCAGCUAAGGUCCCAAAGUCAUGGUUAAGUGGGAAACGAUGUGGGAAGGCCCAGACAGCCAGGAUGUUGGCUUAGAAGCAGCCAUCAUUUAAAGAAAGCGUAAUAGCUCACUGGUCGAGUCGGCCUGCGCGGAAGAUGUAACGGGGCUAAACCAUGCACCGAAGCUGCGGCAGCGACGCUGAUGCGUUGUUGGGUAGGGGAGCGUUCUGUAAGCCUGCGAAGGUGGCCUGUGAGGGUUGCUGGAGGUAUCAGAAGUGCGAAUGCUGACAUAAGUAACGAUAAAGCGGGUGAAAAGCCCGCUCGCCGGAAGACCAAGGGUUCCUGUCCAACGUUAAUCGGGGCAGGGUGAGUCGACCCCUAAGGCGAGGCCGAAAGGCGUAGUCGAUGGGAAACGGGUUAAUAUUCCCGUACUUGGUGUUACUGCGAAGGGGGGACGGAGAAGGCUAUGUUGGCCGGGCGACGGUUGUCCCGGUUUAAGCGUGUAGGUGUGUGUUCCAGGUAAAUCCGGUUCACUUUAACACUGAGGCGUGAUGACGAGGCACUACGGUGCUGAAGCAACAAAUGCCCUGCUUCCAGGAAAAGCCUCUAAGCAUCAGGUAACAUCAAAUCGUACCCCAAACCGACACAGGUGGUCAGGUAGAGAAUACCAAGGCGCUUGAGAGAACUCGGGUGAAGGAACUAGGCAAAAUGGUGCCGUAACUUCGGGAGAAGGCACGCUGACACGUAGGUGAAGUGAUUUACUCAUGGAGCUGAAGUCAGUCGAAGAUACCAGCUGGCUGCAACUGUUUAUUAAAAACACAGCACUGUGCAAACACGAAAGUGGACGUAUACGGUGUGACGCCUGCCCGGUGCCGGAAGGUUAAUUGAUGGGGUCAGCGCAAGCGAAGCUCCUGAUCGAAGCCCCGGUAAACGGCGGCCGUAACUAUAACGGUCCUAAGGUAGCGAAAUUCCUUGUCGGGUAAGUUCCGACCUGCACGAAUGGCGUAAUGAUGGCCAGGCUGUCUCCACCCGAGACUCAGUGAAAUUGAACUCGCUGUGAAGAUGCAGUGUACCCGCGGCAAGACGGAAAGACCCCGUGAACCUUUACUAUAGCUUGACACUGAACAUUGAGCCUUGAUGUGUAGGAUAGGUGGGAGGCUUUGAAGUGUGGACGCCAGUCUGCAUGGAGCCGGCCUUGAAAUACCACCCUUUAAUGUUUGAUGUUCUAACGUGGACCCGUGAUCCGGGUUGCGGACAGUGUCUGGUGGGUAGUUUGACUGGGGCGGUCUCCUCCUAAAGAGUAACGGAGGAGCACGAAGGUUGGCUAAUCCUGGUCGGACAUCAGGAGGUUAGUGCAAUGGCAUAAGCCAGCUUGACUGCGAGCGUGACGGCGCGAGCAGGUGCGAAAGCAGGUCAUAGUGAUCCGGUGGUUCUGAAUGGAAGGGCCAUCGCUCAACGGAUAAAAGGUACUCCGGGGAUAACAGGCUGAUACCGCCCAAGAGUUCAUAUCGACGGCGGUGUUUGGCACCUCGAUGUCGGCUCAUCACAUCCUGGGGCUGAAGUAGGUCCCAAGGGUAUGGCUGUUCGCCAUUUAAAGUGGUACGCGAGCUGGGUUUAGAACGUCGUGAGACAGUUCGGUCCCUAUCUGCCGUGGGCGCUGGAGAACUGAGGGGGGCUGCUCCUAGUACGAGAGGACCGGAGUGGACGCAUCACUGGUGUUCGGGUUGUCAUGCCAAUGGCACUGCCCGGUAGCUAAAUGCGGAAGAGAUAAGUGCUGAAAGCAUCUAAGCACGAAACUUGCCCCGAGAUGAGUUCUCCCUGAGACUUAGAGUCUCCUGAAGGAACGUUGAAGACGACGACGUUGAUAGGCCGGGUGUGUAAGCGCAGCGAUGCGUUGAGCUAACCGGUACUAAUGAACCGUGAGGCUUAACCUUACA